UUUGUUCUCUGUUUUCAGGGAAAAAAUCGUCUGCAACCUGGAAAAUGCUGGGCCUUUCCAGGUUUCCAGGGACGUUUGGGCGUCUCACUUUCACACCCAGCCACCAUCAGACAUGUGUCCCUGGGUCACAUUGCUAAGACUGUGUCCCCAACGUCCUCUGUCUCUAGUGCUCCCAAAGAAUUUUCUGUAUAUGGAGCAAAGAAUUUAGAAGAUGAGGAAACUCAUUUGGGAACUUUCCAAUACGAUGAAGAUGGAGACCAAAUACAGACCUUCAAACUUCCUGCCGAUAAAGUUGGUUCCUUCCGUCAUGUUACUCUAAAGGUGAACAGCAACUGGGGUCAUCCGGACUACACCUGCCUCUAUAACUUUAGAGUGCAUGGAGAAAUUGCAAAAUGACGAGGAGAAAUGGAUGACAUAUGGAGAAAACUAUUUUUUUACCCUUUGAUAUAUCUCUUUUGUAUAUGUUUACACAAUUAAUUUUAAUUCCUCACAAAAAGUCCUCACAGUCAACCAUAAGUAGCACAAUGGCACAGUUAGUAGCACUGUUACCUUUCAGAAAGAGGUUCAGACGUAAUAAAAGUGGGAUUUGUGGGUUUUCUCCGGGU